rnacentral:rRNA from 1 species
GUGGGGAAUAUUGGACAAUGGGCGAAAGCCUGAUCCAGCCAUGCCGCGUGUGUGAAGAAGGUCUUCGGAUUGUAAAGCACUUUAAGUUGGGAGGAAGGGCAGUAAGUUAAUACCUUGCUGUUUUGACGUUACCGACAGAAUAAGCACCGGCUAACUUCGUGCCAGCAGCCGCGGUAAUACGAAGGGUGCAAGCGUUAAUCGGAAUUACUGGGCGUAAAGCGCGCGUAGGUGGUUUUGUAAGUUGGAGGUGAAAUCCCCGGGCUCAACCUGGGUACUGCCUCCAAAACUGCAGGACUAGAGUACGGUAGAGGGUAGUGGAAUUUCCUGUGUAGCGGUGAAAUGCGUAGAUAUAGGAAGGAACACCAGUGGCGAAGGCGACUACCUGGACUGAUACUGACACUGAGGUGCGAAAGCGUGGGGAGCAAACAGGAUUAGAUACCCGUGUAGUCC